CUAAAUUUCAUGCGGAUCCUCACCUACUCACCUUGUGAAGAAACACUUUUUCCAAGUAAGGGCCAGGCUAAGAGAGAACCUUGAGCAGCGGUACCCAACUGUGGUGCUGACCCUCCUGGGCAACCUGGAGCUCUGUCGGAAGAGGAUUCAACCUAAAUGCCAGUUCAGAAGCAAGUCCGUGAGAUGACUGGGGG